CUAUUGCACCUAAUUGAAUCUCGGUGGUAUAGUUGUCUUAUACUAUUUUGGUCACAAACGUACAUGCACGUCCCCUUUAAAAGCAGUUAUCAUUCCACAUGUUAAUAUAAAAUGCUAACAUAUACUGUGGUUUAGUUAAGAUUGCUUACUGUUGAUGUCUUCCAUGAAAAUUUCUAGGUUUAUUUGGAGAAAUUUUCGAGGAAACCAGAAAUUGAUGCUUUUGCAGAAGAAUUGAAACCACAUCAGGUUGCCUUCUGUCUCACUUUAAAGAUUUACACGAUCUUAGCUUUGUUUUUAUGAUAUUUUCUAAUUGUUUGGUUUGUCAUUUGACUAUAUGACUAUCUGGUACAAUGGAGAGGAUAUGAAUUUUGAUGGUCAUGUUGACAGUUUGUUGCUCGAAGUUGCAUUACAUGAAAAGCAUUUGGGGGCAAAUCAAGCACAUUUAGGCCAUGUAGCGAUGUUGUUAAAGAGGUAGUUAAGUUGAGGACAAACCAUGUUUUAUCAUAGAUAUGGGAAUUUUUGGUAAUAUUAUGUGCCUUAUAAUAUUCAAAUCUGCACCUGAAUGCAUGGUGGGUGUUAGUUUUGUCCAACGUGUCCUUUGUUAACCAUUUAAGUUGUUUGAGAACUUGAUGUAUAUUUAAGUAAAAUUGGGAUUUACUACGAAUGACCUGAUGUAAAAAGCUUUGUAUGGUAUGAAGUUUGGUUAUUUUCUUAGUGAUGAGAUGCGUUACAAUAUGGUUUUAUUUUGUUAGUUGUUUAAGAGCAUGAAUUUUGGUUAUUAGUCAAUUCUAGGAAUUCUUGGGCUGGGUCUUCUUUCUUUUUUAUUUUCUCUCAUUUUUCUUUCUUUCUUUUUCUCUUCAUUUUCUUUCCAUUUUUCUUGGCAUUUUGAAAGUGAAAUCAAAAGCACAAGGAUAAUCUAUCUAAGGUUAUGGAUAAAUAUUUGAUAAAUAUUUGAGAAAGUCAUAGCCAAGCUUCAAAAGGGUUAUAUCAAUAACUUUGUAUUUUCUCAAUUAUUUUGUUAUAUUUGUAAUGAAUUGUGUAAAAUAUUCUCCUUUUCAUCAUUUGUAUACAAUGGGCUAAGUUAUUUGUGUUGGGAUUUAUGGUAUUAAUUUAACU
rnacentral:lncRNA from 1 species